GGUAAAAUGUAUAAGAUUACUUUAAAAUGAUAUUAAUAAUACCAAUUCAAUGGUAUAUUUGAUGUAGGAUAAUACUUUAAGUAGACAUUUGGUAUUUGUGAUUUCAAUGCAAGUGCUCCCUUGUAAAAAGAAAAUGGAUGUCUCAAAUAGUAACAGUAUGAAAGAAAACGUGCAUGACUGAAUACUUAUGGGGGGACUGAAUUAUUUUCACAUACGUAACUAAGUCAUUCAGUACGUACAUAGUAUGUAUUUAUGUAUAAACAUAAAAUGUAAGAUUUACUUUAAAACAGUAUUAAUAAUAUUUCAAAGAUUAAUAUGAACCAUAAUAGGAUAUUUUAUGUAUAUUUGAUGAAGGAUGGUUUUUUUUAGGGAUACUUUGGUGUUUACAUGUUUAGGAUAGGAGUUUAUGAGCAUUUUUAGAGGGGGGGUUCCAAACAUUCGCGGGGGGGUCUGGUACGCAUCCCCCGCGAAUACGGGGGGACCACUGUAGAUAUUAAUAUACUCCUAAAAGUAUUUCUUGGGCACCUAAUAAAAUAUACCAGCCCUAUGUAUUAAUCUGUGCACACUUAUACUAUUAUACAAUUGUACAAUUAUAUUUAUCUAUUAUAAGGAGUGACAAGUACUCUUUAACAAUUAUCCAUGAUCAUGUUUGUGUUUACACAGUAACCGCUAUUCUUAAUCAGGUUACCUAUUACCAUAAUCUACCAGUAACCGCUAUUCUUAAUCAGGUUACCUAUUACCAUAAUCUUCAUGUAUACAUGUUAACCUUUUGAUUUUUACCUUUUUGAUUUUUUUGGUACCCAAUUAUCAUUAUUAUCAAACAUGGAUAUAUAUUUUCCAUGCAUUUAUCUUUGUUUAUGAAUAUGUCCAAAAAGGGUAUGUAACAACUUUUUUAUACAUUUAAUCACUUGUUAUGAUUAUAUCUAAAUAUAUGUUACGAGCACACUCCUAAGAAACCAUGCUUAAAGUAACUUUUGUUAUUCAAGGCUUGAAUGGUAGCUGACCGAGCCUAAUGUAAUAAAUAACAUUAUUUGAACAGAUUAUUAUAUAUAUCUGUAAAUAGAAUCCAUGACCUGUGAGGUCAUUGGCGAAUUAGGAGCGUCCUACGUGACCAAGACAAAUCUAGAUCACGCUAUGCAAUGCCUGCAAUAGCCUGGUUUAAGUUUGUUUGAAAAUGUCAUCGUUUUGUAUCUUGUCAACUAUUCAUAACACCUUCCAUGGGAAGCGGUUGACCUGUUAACCUGCGCCGGAAACUUGUAACUUCCGAGCCGGCGGACUACGUAUGUUUUUUAUGUGAAUCGCUGAGAUAGCUAAUGUUUCGCUAUCAACGUGAUGCUCUAAUAGGGUGAUGUGGUCACGACCCGGACAAGGUCUCGACCCGGACAGUCUUGAUUAACCAAUGAACGAUCGAGCCUAGGAUGACGUCAGAGCUAUGACGUAUGAGGGAAGGCGGUCCUAACUAGACGCCAUUUGCAAACCUACCCGCCAACGCUUCGCUUGUAAACAAGAUCCUUCGUGCCUCGCAGCCAUGCCUCGCAACUACCAGCCCAGGAACAUCCUAACCACGGAUUGGACCAACUUGGAGAAGGCAUUUAAUCACCGCGUUGAGACAGGCUGUAGCAUCCGCACUGCUAGCAACCUUUUUGGAGUGAAACCUUCGACUCUUGGGGAUGCUUUCACUCGGUCCCUCAAGGAGAGUGAUGGGAGGACGUUCGUGCCAAAGCAGCAGAACGUCAAGAAGGUUUUCACCGAUGCGCAGGAACUCUUCAUCGAGGAAUACUCGAUAAAGAUUGCGCGCAUGUUCUACGGCCUGCCGACGAGAGCUUUCAGGAGGAUGGUCCUGAAGUAUGCAGAGGCUGUUGGCAGCCCGGCUAUUCCUGAUGUCUGGAGGAGGGAAGGUAUGGCCACCCGUGACUGGUAUUACGGGUAUAUGUUCCGUCAUCCAAAGCUUGCAUUGAAGGCUCCGGAGGGCAUGUCACUUUCGCGCGCGAUAGCUUUCAACCGCGUAAACGUUGAAGUCUUCUUCAAGGCUUACGUGGAAGCUGUCGAGCGACACAGUUUCAUGCCAGCCAGGAUCUUCAACUUGGAUGAGAGUGGCUUGUCCACUGUGAUGAAGCCAUGUAAGGUUGUUUGCGAGAGAGGUCGUCCUGUUGCUUCGCAGGUUGCUCGGGAGAGAGGCAAUCAUAUGACUUUCGUGGGGAUUGUUAAUGCUGCAGGGCAUGGUUUCCCUCCAGUGUUUAUCAUCGCACGAAAGAAGAUGAAUGCUGAUUUUCAGAGAGGGACUACUCCUGGAACCACAGUGCUCUUGCAGGCUAACGGUUGGAUGGACCAUGAGCGUUUCGUGCAGACACUCGAGCAUCUCCA